UUGCUCUCACGCGGAGGGAGUUGCCAAGGAGGAUUUUGCCGCGGCGGAGGACGUUGGCGAAGGGACCUCUUCCCUGCGCAAAUCUGUCCGGAACUUCAUCAGUUCGUUCUGGAUUAGGUUUGGGCGGGGUGAGGCGAAGAAAAUGGCGGAGGAUCGUCGAGCUGAGGAGAUUGCGAAGAAGAAGGCUAAGGUUGUCAAGGCCGGACCUUCGCGUCCCCCGAGUGAGGCGUGCCCUCCGACCCAGCCCGAAGCGGAGGCUCGUGAUACUGGUGCCAAAGCUCCGGAGGGAUCUGGUGCUAAGGUUUCAGAGACUCCCGAAGCUCCUGCUCCUCCUCCGCCUCAGGUGUGAGGCUUUUUAGUUUUUAGGUUUUUCUUAGUCUUUUUUGCGUCCAAGUGUGUGACGCUUUUUUUGUAAGUAAGGCCGGAGGUUGUGCUUUAUUUUGUAAAGACUGUUUAAAAUAUAAUAUAUUGAGUUGUUUUCA